rnacentral:rRNA from 1 species
UGAGGAAUUUUGCGCAAUGGGAGCAAUCCUGACGCAGCAACGCCGCGUGAGUGAUGAAGGCCUUCGGGUCGUAAAGCUCUGUCAGGUGGGAAGAACAUCCAUGGCAAGAAUACGGUCAUGGAGUGACGGUACCACCAGAGGAAGCACCGGCUAACUCCGUGCCAGCAGCCGCGGUAAUAAGGAGGGUGCGAGCGUUAUUCGGAAUUACUGGGCGUAAAGCGCGUGCAGGCGGGAAGACAAGUCGGAUGUGAAAGCCCCGGGCUUAACCGGGGAAGUGCAUUGGGAACUGUUUUUCUUGAGUACUGGAGAGGAAGGGGGAAUUCCCGGUGUAGAGGUGAAAUUCGUAGAGAUCGGGAGGAAUAUCAGUGGCGAAGGCGCCCUUCUGGACGGAUACUGACGCUGAGACGCGAAAGCGUGGGGAGCAAACA